rnacentral:rRNA from 1 species
AUUGAACGCUGGCGGCAGGCCUAACACAUGCAAGUCGAGCGAGCGGCGGACGGGUGAGUAAUGUCUGGGAAACUGCCUGAUGGCGGGGGAUAACUACUGGAAACGGUAGCUAAUACCGCAUACCAUCAGAUGUGCCCAGAUGGGAUUAGCUAGUAGGUGGGGUAAUGGCUCACCUAGGCGCCGAUCCCUAGCGGGUCUGAGAGGAUGACCAGCCACAGUGGAACUGGGACACGGUCCAGACUCUUACGGGAGCCAGCAGUAGGGAAUAUUGCACAAUGGGCGCAAGCCUUAUUGAGUCAUGCCGAGUGAAUGAAUAAGGCUUUCGGGUUGUAAAGUACUUUCAGCGGGGAGGCGUUACACGCAGAAGAAGCACCGGCUAACUCCGUGCCAGCAGCCGCGGUAAUUC